AAGCCGAGGCCGAUAGGCGUAGGCGAUGGACAACAGGUUGAUAUUCCUGUACCAGUUGUUUUUGUUUGAGCAAUGGAGGGACGCAGUAGGCUAAGGAAUGCAUGCGAUUGGAAGUGCAUGUCCAAGCAAUGAGUCUUGAGUAGAGUUAAAUGCUUUACUCUCUAAGGACAAGUUGUGACGGGGAGCGAAAUAAUAGUAGCGAAGUUCCUGAUGUCACACUGCCAAGAAAAGCUUCUAGUGAGAAAACAACUGCCCGUACCGUAAACCGACACAGGUAGUCGAGGAGAGUAUCCUAAGGUGAGCGAGCGAACUCUCGUUAAGGAACUCGGCAAAAUGACCCCGUAACUUCGGGAGAAGGGGUGCU
rnacentral:rRNA from 1 species